UUAAUAUUCCCGUACUUCUUACAAUUGCGAUGGGGGGACGGAGAAGGCUAGGUGGGCCUGGCGACGGUUGUCCAGGUUCAAGUGCGUAGGCUGAGUGUUUAGGUAAAUCCGGACACUCUUAAGGCUGAGACACGACGUCGAGCUACUACGGUAGUGAAGUCAUUGAUGCCAUGCUUCCAGGAAAAGCCUCUAAGCUUCAGAUUGUAAGGAAUCGUACCCCAAACCGACACAGGUGGUCGGGUAGAGAAUACCAAGGCGCUUGAGAGAACUCGGGUGAAGGAACUAGGCAAAAUGGUACCGUAACUUCGGGAGAAGGUACGCUCUUGAUGGUGA
rnacentral:rRNA from 1 species